rnacentral:rRNA from 1 species
CAGCAGCCGCGGGGAUACGAGGGGGGCAAGCGUUGUUCGGAAUUAUUGGGCGUAAAGGGCGCGUAGGCGGUUUGACAAGUUUGGUGUGAAAUCUAUGGGCUCAACCCAUAGCCUGCAUCGAAAACUGUCGGGCUUGAGUAUGGGAGAGGUGAGUGGAAUUUCCGGUGUAGCGGUGAAAUGCGUAGAUAUCGGAAGGAACACCUGUGGCGAAAGCGGCUCUCUGGCUUGUAACUGACGCUGAGGCUCGAAAGCUAGGGGAGCAAACAGGAUUAGAUACCCCCGUAGUCCCUGUCUCUUAUAA